GUGUGUGAGAGAGAAAAAAACCUUAUGUAAACGUGUUGAAAAUAAUAUCAUCCGCGCCCCUUUUUUCUGGCAGGUGGGGGCUUGUCGUGUCCGGUGGACCCCUAGUCAGAUAAAAGCUCCACUGACUCGUCUCUGCAACAUUUCUGAGAAGGAACGACAUUAAACUCAGAGCCUGGAAAUUAGAGAAGAUGGCGUCGCUCAAGGUGGCUUUGCUUCUCUUCAUUGGUCUCCAAAGCUGUGAUCUCACUCUGACUCUUGAUGUCAGUGGUUUGCAAACAGAUCUGGAUGAUUCAACGAAUGGAAACACAUGCCAGGACUGCACUAAAAUAUUUGAACUCAUUGGUGACCUGCUGUCCAACGCAGAUGUCCAGAAAAAGAUCAUGGAUGGCAUCGAAACUGUGUGUGACCACCUGCCCGGGCCUGUCACCACCAGAAAAGUCUGCAAAGAGGAGGUGGAGAAGAUAUUCCACUGGUCAUCAACUUUAUUACUGGAGUGUUAAACCAGCAGAGGUGUGUAAACUCCUUGGGCUGUGUAGCUCCAGUGAAACUCAACAGAAGAUGCUCAGCUACUUUGUGAAGCAGGCCCUGGAAGCUGCUGGGACCAGCGAAGAUGUGCUGCCCCCAUCACAGUGUGCCGUCUGCAUUUUUAUAAUCAAGUCUCUGGAGGAUUUACUGCCAAAGGAAGGACAGAGACUGCUGUGAUCCACGUGGUGGAAGAAAUCUGUCAUAUUGUGCCUGCUUCCUACAAAGAUCAAUGUGAGGCUAUAGUUGGCAAGUUCACCAAGACGGUGCUGGAGGCCAUCAUGCGCUACGCCACACCUCAGGCCAUCUGCGCCCUCAUGCACCUGUGUAAAGGCCAGGAAGUAACACCUGUCGAUCCAUGCACUCUGGCAACAUACAGGUGCAAAGACUUCAACACAGCUGUCAGAUGUGGAACUGUUUUCUACUGUCAGAAAUUUGCCUGGAAGCCUCUGAACGUGAUCUAAGAAAUUAAGGUCAGGUCUUCAGCAGACGAUGUAGAGCUUUCACCACUGAACUGCAAAUAUUCUGUCGAGCCCUUGUUUUUGGUGGUUUCCUGCCAAAGUAUUUCUGUCUGAUACUGAUUUGAUAUCUAUUUGCAUUCUGCAUGGUAUAUAUGGUCUGCACUGAGCAAAGAAAAGCAGCAUUUAUUUCAAUAUGUUAGACAAAAGGAUAGCUAAGCUGUAAGGAAUGUUGAAAAGAUAUGAAAGUCUUGACUGUAUAAACAAGAUUGUUAAAAAUUUUUAAGUGUUUGACUUUUAUACAUUUAUGCCUUUGUUUUUGUACUAACAAGAUACUUUUCUAAGCUUAUUUCACAUUUAAUCAGUUUUUGUAAUCUAUCAAAAUCAGGUGCAAUCAAAAUAUUUGUAUGCUGCAUUUACUAUGAGGAACAAAUGUAUACUACAGGAUCUUCAUUUGGUAUUAAAUAAAUAAUAUCAACUAUG